AAGAAAGUAAAGCAAGAACUGCUAAUUCAUGCACCCAUAUAUAAAACAUAUGGCUUUCUU
rnacentral:tRNA from 1 species